rnacentral:rRNA from 1 species
ACGCCGUGGAGGGCUGUAAGUAAGCUUUGAUCCAGAGAUUUCCGAAUGGGGAAACCCAGCAUGAGUUAUGUCAUGUUAUCGAUAUGUGAAUACAUAGCAUAUCAGAAGGCACACCCGGAGAACUGAAACAUCUUAGUACCCGGAGGAAGAGAAAGAAAAUUCGAUUCCCUUAGUAGCGGCGAGCGAAACGGGAAGAGCCCAAACCAACAAGCUUGCUUGUUGGGGUUGUAGGACACUCUAUACGGAGUUACAAAGGACGACAUUAGACGAAUCAUCUGGAAAGAUGAAUCAAAGAAGGUAAUAAUCCUGUAGUCGAAAAUGUUGUCUCUCUUGAGUGGAUCCUGAGUACGACGGAGCACGUGAAAUUCCGUCGGAAUCUGGGAGGACCAUCUCCUAAGGCUAAAUACUCUCUAGUGACCGAUAGUGAACCAGUACCGUGAGGGAAAGGUGAAAAGCACCCCGGAAGGGGAGUGAAAUAGAACCUGAAACCGUGUGCUUACAAGUAGUCAGAGCCCGUUCAUGGGUGAUGGCGUGCCUUUUGUAGAAUGACCCGGCGAGUUACGAUUUGAUGCAAGGUUAAGCAGUAAAUGUGGAGCCGUAGCGAAAGCGAGUC